rnacentral:rRNA from 1 species
CAGCAGCCGCGGGAAUACGUAGGGUGCAAGCGUUAAUCGGAAUUACUGGGCGUAAAGCGUGCGCAGGCGGUUUGUUAAGACAGAUGUGAAAUCCCCGGGCUCAACCUGGGAACUGCAUUUGUGACUGGCAAGCUAGAGUGUGGCAGAGGGGGGUGGAAUUCCGCGUGUAGCAGUGAAAUGCGUAGAUAUGCGGAGGAACACCGAUGGCGAAGGCAGCCCCCUGGGCCAACACUGACGCUCAUGCACGAAAGCGUGGGGAGCAAACAGGAUUAGAUACCCGCGUAGUCCCUGUCUCUUAUAC